GAUGAACGCUGGCGGCUUGCCUAAUACAUGCAAGUCGAGCGAACGAACGAGAAGCUUGCUUCUCUGAUGUUAGCGGCGGACGGGUGAGUAAAACGUGGAUAACCUACCUAUAAGACUGGGAUAACUUCGGGAAACCGGAGCUAAUACCGGAUAUUAUUUUGAACCGCAUGGUUCAAAAGUGAAAGACGGUCUUGCUGUCACUUAUAGAUGGAUCCGCGCUGCAUUAGCUAGUUGGUAAGGUAACGGCUUACCAAGGCAACGAUGCAUAGCCGACCUGAGAGGGUGAUCGGCCACACUGGAACUGAGACACGGUCCAGACUCCUACGGGAGGCAGCAGUAGGGAAUCUUCCGCAAUGGGCGAAAGCCUGACGGAGCAACGCCGCGUGAGUGAUGAAGGUCUUCGGAUCGUAAAACUCUGUUAUUAGGGAAGAACAUAUGUGUAAGUAACUGUGCACAUCUUGACGGUACCUAAUCAGAAAGCCACGGCUAACUACGUG
rnacentral:rRNA from 1 species